rnacentral:tRNA from 1 species
CUUUAUUUAGUACAAAAAGUACCUUUGACUUCCAAUCAAAAAAUAUAUGUUUAAUAUAAUAAAGA